AGUGAACGCUGGCGGUAGGCCUAACACAUGCAAGUCGAACGGCAGCACCGUAAGAGCUUGCUCUUACGGGUGGCGAGUGGCGGACGGGUGAGGAAUACAUCGGAAUCUACUUUUUCGUGGGGGAUAACGUAGGGAAACUUACGCUAAUACCGCAUACGACCUACGGGUGAAAGCAGGGGAUCUUCGGACCUUGCGCGAUUGAAUGAGCCGAUGUCGGAUUAGCUAGUUGGCGGGGUAAAGGCCCACCCAGGCGACGAUCCGUAGCUGGUCGGAGAGGAUGAUCAGCCACACUGGAACGGAGACACGGUCAAGACUCCUACGGGAGGCAGCAGUGGGGAAUAGUGGACAAUGGGCGGAAGCCUGAUCCAGCCAUACCGCGUGGGUGAAGAAGGCCUUCGGGUUGUAAAGCCCUUUUGUUGGGAAAGAAAAGCAGCAGGUUAAUACCCCGCUGUUCUGACGGUACCCAAAGAAUAAGCACCGGCUAACUUCGUG
rnacentral:rRNA from 1 species